rnacentral:rRNA from 1 species
AUACGUAGGGUCCAAGCAUUAUCCGGAUUGACUGGGUGUAAAGAGUUGCGUAGGUGGCAGGGUAAGUAGAUAGUGAAAUCUGGUGGCUCAACCAUUCAGACUAUUAUCUAAACUGCUAGGCUCGAGAAUGUUAGGGGUAGCUGGAAUUUCUGGUGUAGGAGUGAAAUCCGUAGAUAUUAGAAAGAACACCGAUAGCGUAGGCAGGCUACUGGGACAUUUCUGACACUAAGGCACGAAAGCGUGGGGAGCAAACGGGAUUAGAUACCCCGGUAGUCCACGCCGUAAACGAUGGAUACUAGCAGUUUCGGGUAUCGACCCCUGGAGUUGCGAAGCUAACGCGUUAAGUAUCCCACCUGUGUAGUACGAUCGCAAGAUUAAAACUUAAAGGAAUUGACGGGG